rnacentral:snRNA from 1 species
AGUAGUGCGCAGUGGCAGUAUCGUAGCCAAUGAGGUUUAUCCGAGGCACAAUUAUGGAUAACUGAAAAACCAGUAAGAAAGCCAUUUAUAUCAAUCCUCUUUUUUUAAGGGA